UUUGGGGGAAGGAAUUUCUUCUGUCCAAACAACGGUGGUAUUGAGGCUGAUCUUUGCUGCUGAAUCAUUGGUUCAUGAGCAUUUCUAAGCAGAAUAAAAAGACUUGGAUAUGUUCUUGGUCCAAUGAUGCAGGAGCUGAGUUUGGCUUUGGCUGCCUUUUCUUGGACUGAAGGGUUUCCUUCUCUCUUCA
rfam:Nicotiana sylvestris Nsyl_contig85218, whole genome shotgun sequence.